rnacentral:rRNA from 1 species
AUUGAACGCUGGCGGAAUGCUUUACACAUGCAAGUCGAACGGCAGCACGGACUUCGGUCUGGUGGCGAGUGGCGAACGGGUGAGUAACAUAUCGGAACGUAUCCAAUAAUGGGGGAUAACGAGUCGAAAGAUUCGCUAAUACCGCAUACGCCCUACGGGGGACAGCUGGGGACCUUUGGGCCUGGCGUUAAUGGAGCGGCCGAUAUCUGAUUAGCUAGUUGUUGAGGUAAAGGCGCACCAAGGCGACGAUCAGUAGCUGGUCUGAGAGGACGACCAGCCACACUGGAACUGAGACACGGUCCAGACUCCUACGGGAGGCAGCAGUGGGGAAUUUUGGACAAUGGGCGCAAGCCUGAUCCAGCCAUUCCGCGUGAGUGAAGAAGGCCUUCGGGUUGUAAAGCUCUUUCGCAAGGGAAGAAAACUUAGCCACUAACAUUGGUUGAGGUUGACGGUACCUUGAUAAGAAGCACCGGCUAACUACGUGCCAGCCGCCGCAGUAA